rnacentral:rRNA from 1 species
UAGGGAAUCUUCGGCAAUGGACGGAAGUCUGACCGAGCAACGCCGCGUGAGUGAAGAAGGUUUUCGGAUCGUAAAGCUCUGUUGUUAGAGAAGAACGUUGGUAGGAGUGGAAAAUCUACCAAGUGACGGUAACUAACCAGAAAGGGACGGCUAACUACGUGCCAGCAGCCGCGGUAAUACGUAGGUCCCGAGCGUUGUCCGGAUUUAUUGGGCGUAAAGCGAGGGCAGGCGGUUCUUUAAGUCUGAAGUUAAAGGCAGUGGCUUAACCAUUGUACGCUUUGGAAACUGGAGGACUUGAGUGCAGAAGGGGAGAGUGGAAUUCCAUGUGUAGCGGUGAAAUGCGUAGAUAUAUGGAGGAACACCGGUGGCGAAAGCGGCUCUCUGGUCUGUAACUGCCGCUGAGGCUCGAAAGCGUGGGGAGCAACCAGG